AUUCUAAGUGAGGCUUCCUAACAUCUUACUAGCCUAGGAUUAAUAUCAGCCCAUUUUUUGGAGGAGAACCAACAAGACUGGCUAUUUGACUGGAUCCCCCAAUUGGUUUACUCCAAGAUUCCUCUUCAUUGGCUUAAGAAGAUACAAGACAGGAGUCUCCAAUCCUUAGACCAUGGACCAAUAUCAACCAUGGCCAGUUAGCAACCCGGUAACAAAGCAGGAGCAGCCCUGAGAAGUAAAUACUGUUGCUGUCAUCCCUAUUUUACAAAUGAGGAAACAAAAAUAGAGAAAUGAAGCAAUUUGUCCAAGAUCACUCUGCUGGCAAGCAACAGAACCAGGAGUUUAACCCAGAUCAUAGCAGAGAACAAACAAGGAGGAGGAAGAACAGGAGGAGGAGGGGGAAAAGAGGAGGAAGAAGAAAGAAAGAUUAAAGAAGAAGAAAGAAGGAAGGAGGAGGGGAGAAAAAGAAAAUAAUAAUAAUGAUAGUCUCAAUUUUAGACUAUUAUGUACCAUAUUAAGGACUUAACAUUCACUCCCUCACUCAUACAUUUUUUCAAGUUGCCGUUCUGCGGAAAACACUCUGCACAGUGGGACUAUGGGGGCACAUGGUCAGCCAAGCACCAUUCCAUAAAGGGACUAAGUGACAGAACAGACUGGAUGUGAGAUGGCAACUGUACUUCAGGUAAAUGUGCUGUUAACCCCAUAGCAUAGACACCUCUGGACUUCUGAAACAGAAUCCUGUGACCACCGUGGAUGAAACAUAGACUCUCAUUAAGCUGCAGUUCCAAUGCCUGAGUAGCGUGAAUUGCUUCUAUGAUAAGGCAUUAUUUAGCCUUUGCCUGAAACAGCCCUAAUGAGAAGGAUCUCGCCACCUCAUGGCAUGGUCCAGUUCAUUUUCAGAAGCUUUCUUUGUAAUCUGUGCUUAUAAAAUUGUUAACAGGGGAUAGCUAAUAAAAUGGCCUCCUAAAAACUCUA